UGGAGGAAAGCAGGGGAUCGUAAGACCUUGCGCUUUUGGAGCGGCCGAUGUCUGAUUAGCUAGUUGGUGGGGUAAUGGCCCACCAAAGCUUCGAUCAGUAGCUGGUCUGAGAGGACGGCCAGCCACACUGGGACUGAGACACGGCCCAGACUCCUACGGGAGGCAGCAGUGGGGAAUUUUGGACAAUGGGCGCAAGCCUGAUCCAGCCAUGCCGCGUGAGUGAAGAAGGCCUUCGGGUUGUAAAGCUCUUUCAGCCGGGAAGAAAAGGCUGCGAUUAAUAAUCGCAGUUCAUGACGGUACCGGAAGAAGAAGCACCGGCUAACUACGUGCCAGCAGCCGCGGUAAUACGUAGGGUGCGAGCGUUAAUCGGAAUUACUGGGCGUAAAGGGUGCGCAGGUGGUUUUGUAAGUCAGAUGUGA
rnacentral:rRNA from 1 species